AAGCAUUUAGCUCAGAUGGUAGAGCGUUGAUCCUAUAGUCAAUGGCGCUGGUUCGAUUCCGGCAAUGUUUC
rnacentral:tRNA from 1 species